rnacentral:tRNA from 1 species
GCGCCCGUAGCUCAGCUGGAUAGAGCGUAUGCCUCCGGAGCAUAAGGUCACAGGUUCGAAUCCUGUCGGGCGUA